ACCAGAUCGGCAAGUUUGGAAAACCGUUCUUUCUGUUCCUGCUGCCUGGGAUUCAGAGAGGGUUUUAGAGUGAAACAAAAGUCCAAUGGUUUGAGGACUGUACUCCAUUUUCUGUGUGAGCCUGAGUAAAGAGAAAGAUAAACAGAACCUUUCACCGAUAGGCAUAUUUUAGAGUUCAAGUGUGACAUGACGGGUCCAAAAUAGAUUCCACAUGAUUGGAGCAGAUCCAGAAUCCCAGUCCCUGAAUAGCAAUCAGUGUUGGAAGCUAAGAGCCGGCAUCCACUAUCAUCACAUAAAACAUGGAAGAAACAGCAAAUCCUACACAGCUGUUAGUGAAUAAGGACAAUCCAUAUGUGUAGCUUUAUGCUAUGGACACAUUUUCUUAAAUUACUCAGCUUAGUUUAAAUUGAGGCUCUCUUUGACUUUUUACGUGUCUUUAAUGAACACCCAGAAUCUUACAACAACUUUCUUUCAUGAGUUUUCCUUUCAAAGAAGGAGAGUUAUGCUCUUUGCAAUACUCAGUCCAGGCAAAACUAAUAACCCAAGGGCUUCAUGCUGGUUUAUUUUCACGGAAAGCUCCUCAUAAUUUGAAAUCACAGAGGGUCACAAGCAUCUGAGAAGACACAAGCUAAAAUGUCUGGAUUCUAUGACUUCAUCAUGAGGGAUGUUGGAGUAAUCCUUCAGUCAUGGAGGAACAGAUCAAACCACAGAUCAGCAUACAGAAUUCCUACAGGUUAUCAUUCUAGUGGAGUGAAAAAUGUCAGGAGAAAAAUGACAAAUUACUUGCUCUCUCUGUGUCAUGGUAUGAUGAAUGUAAGUCUUCACAACACACAAAAAAAUAGUACUUCCAGGAAAAAUUUUUGGUCACUGUGGAGGGUUACUUUUUUCCUCUGUACUCUGGAGUGAUGCAAGCAUGACAGUAUAUUUGUUUAAAUGCAGGCUGGUGAUGGCCUGCCAUAGUUUAACUACUAAAGUUACAAACAAAAUAAAACUUUAGUCUGUUGCGAAGCAAUGAUCCAUGGUUUUCACAAAUACCAUAAAAUUACAUAAUCAUAAAGCUUAG
rnacentral:lncRNA from 1 species